GUCGACGACAAUCUACAUCCCAUGUCGCCACCAUAACCUCACUUCUCUCUCUAAUAACAAAACAAACCUCUUCAACGACUUCGAUUCACCACCUACCCAGCCAUAACCCAACCACAGGACCCCUCCUUUCCCGUCUCCUCCGCGCCAAUAAAAACCCCCAAUUCCAAAAGCUUAGGGUUUUUCAUCUUUAUUUCCUCCUCUAAUCAUGGAGACCUCCUCCUCCUCUUCUCCUCCUCCCCCUCCCCCACCACCACAACACGACGGCGACAUGGAAAUCCACCUUCCUCCGGACACCACCGAAUGGGACUGGGGCGAUCUCCUGGACUUCACCGUGGACGAUCAAUUCCCUCUCUCUUUCGAUACAGUUGUUGACGUCACACAACCUAUUGACAAUCCAACGCCUGAAGUCGAGUUUUCUGAUCGGGUAAGGAAGCGAGACCCGAGGUUGACUUGCUCCAAUUUUCUAGCGGGUAUAGUACCGUGUGCGUGUCCGGAGAUGGAUGAAUUAUUACUAGAGGAAGAGGCUGCUUUACCUGGAAAAAAACGGGCGAGGGUUGCUCGUGCCGGGUCGAGUAUUGCUAGGUGUCAAGUACCGAGUUGUGAAGCGGAUAUUAGUGAACUUAAAGGGUAUCAUAGAAGACACAGGGUCUGUUUAGGGUGUGCUAAUGCUACUGCUGUUGUACUUGAUGGGGAAACUAAAAGAUACUGUCAACAGUGUGGCAAGUUUCAUGUGUUAUCGGAUUUUGAUGAAGGGAAAAGGAGUUGUAGAAGGAAAUUAGAGAGGCAUAAUAAUAGAAGGAGAAGGAAGCCAGCUGAUUCUAGUAAGGGCAGUGCAGGUGAUAAGGAAGUUCAAGGGGAUUUGCUAACUGAAGAUACUACUUGUGAUGCUGAAGCUGGCAAAGAUGGUUUGUGGUCCAGUAGUCAGAUGGUGGAGAAAGAAGGGUUGGUUGAGUCUGAAGAUGGACACAUUUCAACCUUGAACUCUGAUCCUAUUUCUCAAAAUGUUAAUAGUGAUAGUGGAGUCUCUUUCACGGCGUCCGGGGACACGCGAAUGGAUUGUGGGAAAGAUGAUUCCAAACUUCCAUUUUCUCCUUCAAUUUGUGACAACAAGAGUGCUUACUCAUCCAUGUGCCCGACAGGUCGGAUCUCAUUCAAGCUUUAUGAUUGGAAUCCGGCAGAAUUCCCUAGAAGGCUUCGACACCAAAUAUUCCAAUGGUUGGCCAGUAUGCCUGUGGAGUUAGAGGGAUAUAUUCGGCCGGGAUGUACAAUCCUGACUGCAUUUCUAGCAAUGCCAACAUUUAUGUGGGUGAAGUUACUUGAAGAUCCUGCAUCAUAUUUGAAUGACCUUCUUGGUAGUGGAAAAAUGCUGUCUAAAAAGGGUCGAAUGCGUGUUUAUCUUAAUAACAUGAUCUUCAAUGUCACAAAAGAUGGACAUUCCGUGAUGAAAGUCAAUGUGAAAGGGCAUGCCCCAAGACUUCACUAUGUUCAUCCUACAUGUUUUGAGGCUGGAAAGCCCAUGGAGUUUGUUGUUUGUGGAAGUAAUUUGUUGCAGCCCAAAUUUCGGUUUCUGGUAUCUUUUGCUGGGAAGUAUCUUGCGCAUGAUUAUUGUGUUGCAUUACCACAAGUUCAUACCAAAGGAGGUUCAGGUCUUCACCAUCAGCUGUACAAAAUACUUACCCAUUGUAUUGAACCUAAUCUCUUAGGUCCUUUAUUUAUUGAGGUUGAGAAUGAGAGUGGCUUAUCAAAUUUUAUUCCUGUGCUUAUUGGGGACAGAGAAGUUUGUUCUGAAAUGAAAAUAAUUCAGCAGAGAUUUGAUGUAUCCCAUUCAUUGAUUUUUGGCUCAGAGUGUGAGGUUUCUGCAAUGAGACAAACAGCUUUUUCAGAGUUUAGCACGGACAUAGCUUGGUUACUAAAGGAGCCUUCAGCAGAAAAUUCUCAACAAACAAUAACUUCUUUUCAGAUUCGAAGAUUCAAUUCUUUGUUGAGUUUCUUGUUACAUCAUGAAUCUACCAUCAUUUUGGAUAGGAUAUUAAAAAACCUGAAGAUCAUGAUGGAGAAAAGGGAGGUCAAUGGUAUGUUUGAUGACACUAGUGACACUAAUACGAGGCUAUUACAGAGUUGCAUGGAGUACGCAAGCAAUAUUCUUCAUAAAAAACUCAAGAGAAGUGAAGUUUUGAAGCAUCACUUGGAAUGUCCUGAACAGGAAUAUUGCAUUUCAGGAAGCUGCUGUGUAAGCAACAAGCCAGCAGUUGUUAUCUCCAGUGAGGGCUUGGAGCAAAGACCAGAUGGAGGUUUGGGAGUGAUGGCAAACUCCAAAUGUAUUGUUAGAAGCGAGGAGGUUCCCCUUUUCAACAGAGACGACGUUAUGAGAAAGAACCUAAUCAACGAGAGGCCAAAGAAAUCAUGUGGUCUCGUUUUCUCUAACAGAGUCUUGAAGUAUCGGCCUUCAGUGUUUGUAAUUGCUAUUAUUGCUGUAUGUUUUGCAGUAUGCGCCCUUCUUCUCCACCCGCGAAAGGUUAGCAAACUUGCAGUAUCUAUACGCAGGUGCUUGACAGACAGAUAUUAGAUGUUCAAUAAGUCUCCAGAUUAUAAUACCCCCUCCUGAUUGCUGGCUCUGUAUACUGAUAUCGACAUUGCCCGUGGACGCAUCAAGAUAUCUAUUCAUGGCAUUCACAUGAGUUGGAGAAAAUAAACAAAUAUUCUUAGAAUUAUACAGCUUUCAUCACAAGCAGAGAUGGAAGGGUCGCACCUGCAUUACCUGUAUCCAUCACCCGAUUCCGAUAGUGAGGUUGGGAUAAGUGAAGGUCUUUCUCUAUCCGUCGGGUACUUGUACCUGACAUGACUUGGUUUUUUUCAUAUUAAAAAAGAAAAAAUUCACUCUCUUAAAAAUUAUUGUUUCCUGUAAAUCAUAUCCUAAAAAACUUAUCCAAAGAAUCUCUUGUACUUGUUAUCAUUUUUUUUAGCCUUGUAUAAAAUAUUAAUACCAGAUGAAAUUUUAAAAUAUAGAACUUUGUUAUUAA